CUCAGGAAUCAGAAACUCAUGAGAAGGACCCUGAAGACAAACUAGCCCUGAAACAAAAAACAGUGCUUCCUGCUAGAAGUCAGGACACAAAGAAAACUUGACCUACGCCCUGUCACGGAAAAGGUUCGACAAGACAUGACUCCAUACCAUUCAGCAGCUCAAAACAACUGGACCAUUUGGUACUCUGGGUGGAUAGGCUGCAAUGAUCUCAACUCCUGGCACAGAGCAUUUGAUGUGCAUUUCUCACUACCCUGAGUUCAAGUGGAUUAACGUGUGGCUGUGCCGUACCAGGGAUCACAAACUGUGAGCCUUCACAUUAUCUCAGUGAGAUGCCUAUCUGCUACGGCUACUGCAUUUAUGCAGAAAAUGAGGGAAUGCUCAGCAGCUGGUCCAAGGUGUGUCCCUGACAGACAUAAAUACCUUGUAGCCACACAUACUGUGUUAAAUCAGUACAGGGAGUGACAUGCCCCAGAAGAGCUAAACAAACCCAAUGCUCAGAGUAUCAAAUUUGAGCACAAGCUUUGCCAUUCCUUGAAAGAGUCCCAUUGGAGGUAGGGUUUGACAGAAAGAUAAUCUGUCUUUUAACUGACAGACUUAAGGUGUUGUAUGAGAGCCAGUUGUGAUUUCCAGAAAUUUAGCAUGAAAUCCAGAGAAUAAGGAAUUUGUUGUCUCUAUUGAUUUUUGAACCAAUGUAGCACCUAAGCUGUGUGUAGACAUAUUUUUAGAAUGGUUUCAACCUUUGCAUAGUCCCCCUAUUAUCAGUUGCAAUUACAUGGCAAAAUUAACCACUUUAGUCUCAUACUAAGAAUGCUACUUUUGUUAUGUUUAUUACACUAUCCUAUAUACUGAUAAUAAUCAUACCUACUCUUGCUUUUUUUGUACUGGUGUUUUCCCUUAAAUGUACUUGUGUCAUUUAAAAAAAUCAAUAGCUGUAUUAUCUUCAGAUUGCCUAACCUAUUGUGGCACUGUAAGAAACUAGGUGUUGGAAAUAAAAUGUUAAGCCACCCA